UGCUGGUUGCGUGAUGAGUUUGCUGCGUUUUCUGUGCCCUUUGCCUCGCUGUGACAUCUUUGGUAUAUUCCAACUUGGUGCUCGCUCUUUAUAGGCUACACGUUGCCUCGAAGAUCACCAUGAUCGCCUCCGACUCAGCCACAUCGAAGAAUCAAAAUGAGCCUGGAGACGCCACAGGCGGAAUGCAAAAGAGAACCUCAUGGGCCACUCACUUCUCGGAAACACCACCAAUAGGC